CCUACGGGAGGCAGCAGUGGGGAAUAUUGGGCAAUGGGCGCAAGCCUGACCCAGCAACGCCGCGUGAGGGAAGAAGGCUUUCGGGUUGUAAACUUCUUUUCUCAGGGACGAAGCAAGUGACGGUACCUGAAGAAAAAGCAUCCGCAAUGUCGGUGCACGCAGCGGGGGAAAUACGGAGGAUGCGAGGUUAUUCCGGUUUAAUUGGGUUUACGGGGUGCGUAGGCGGAAUGCCAACUCAGCGGGAAAAUCGCGGGGCUCAACCUAGCUUCGCCGUUGAAACUGGCGUUCUUGAGUGGGCGAGAGGUAUGCGGAAUGCGUGGUGUAGCGGUGAAAUGCAUAGAUAUCACGCAGAACUCCGAUUGCGAAGGCAGCAUACCGGCGCCCAACUGACGCUGAAGCACGAAAGCGUGGGUAUCGAACAGGAUUAGAUACCCUAGUAGUC
rnacentral:rRNA from 1 species